rnacentral:rRNA from 1 species
UUCAUUGGAGAGUUUGAUCCUGGCUCAGGAUGAACGCUGGCGGCGUGCCUAAUACAUGCAAGUCGAGCGAAUGGAUUAAG